UACGUAGGGUGCAAGCGUUAAUCGGAAUUACUGGGCGUAAAGCGUGCGCAGGCGGUGAUGUAAGACAGAUGUGAAAUCCCCCGGCUUAACCUGGGAACUGCGUCUGAUACUGGAAGGCUUGAGGAUGGGAGAGGGAUGUAGAAUUCCAGGUGUAGCGGUGAAAUGCGUAGAUAUCGGGAGGAACACCAGUGGCGAAGGCGGCUCUCUGGACAGGUACUGACGCUGAGACGCGAAAGCGUGGGUAGCAAACAGG
rnacentral:rRNA from 1 species